GACGAACGCUGGCGGCGUGCCUAAUACAUGCAAGUAGAACGCUGAAGGAGGAGCUUGCUUCUCUGGAUGAGUUGCGAACGGGUGAGUAACGCGUAGGUAACCUGCCUGGUAGCGGGGGAUAACUAUUGGAAACGAUAGCUAAUACCGCAUAAGAGUAGAUGUUGCAUGACAUUUGCUUAAAAGGUGCACUUGCAUCACUACCAGAUGGACCUGCGUUGUAUUAGCUAGUUGGUGAGGUAACGGCUCACCAAGGCAACGAUACAUAGCCGACCUGAGAGGGUGAUCGGCCACACUGGGACUGAGACACGGCCCAGACUCCUACGGGAGGCAGCAGGAGGGAAUCUUCGGCAAUGGACGGAAGUCUGACCGAGCAACGCCGCGUGAGUGAAGAAGGUUGUCGGAUCGUAAAGCUCUGUUGUAAGAGAAGAACGAGUGUGAGAGUGGAAAGUUCACACUGUGACGGUAUCUUACCAGAAAGGGACGGCUAACUACGUG
rnacentral:rRNA from 1 species